CUGUUUUUGCGCAGCGCCCUCAUUCUGCCAACCAAUCGCUGAAGAGCACCACCCACCGAGCCACAGCUAAUUGGCCAAACUGGCCGUCAAAUAGGAGCGUCAUCCGGCUGCCGGGCGGGGCUGGAUGGAACCCGCGCCCGGGCGGCAGAGGUAAGCGUGAGUGUGAGAGAGAGAACAGCCCGGCAGGUCCCGAGGCGCUAGCUGGGGACUCUGCCUCGGAAAGUUCCCAGUCCCCAGCCGCAGGUGGUUGUUUAUACAUUAAAGCAGUUCCUGUGCAGUCUCCUUACGACACAAGAUAAGAAGGUCCCUUGCAGCUUCCUGGUAGUGAAUGACCCGAGAAUAACACCGCUACAACCUGCGGGAAAAGGAGAGUCGUUUGCCCGACCCAAGGUACGUUGCCAUUCCCUCCUGGCAGGGAACUACGGAGGGCGAGUGUCCAUAGGCGUGAUUGUAGACAGAGGCAUGCCCCUGUGAGUCCCGCGAGUGCGUGUCUACUGCCCUACCCGCCCCCCACCCACCCCUUACUCUUUCAUGGAGAUGGGUCCUGCCUUUGAGUGGUUGGAAGGAAAGGAUGCCAGCAAAAAUGGCUAAUCCUUUUCCAGCUGCAGUAAAUUGACGACCGGCCAAAGCCAAGCGAAAACCGCCGCAGUUAAAAUGAUUUUAGCAUCACGUCUGCAGCUGAAAAUGGAGCGGCAGUUUAUAAAAGGACCUGUGGAUCAAUGAAAAGGAGAUUAUAGUGUAUCUGAAUAUUAAUACGGCAUCGCUUCUGUACUUUCUACCCCUCCCCCCUUCCUUUCUUUAGAUCUGCAGGAUUGAAAUGAAAUGUUUUGAGCUCUUCAAGCUGACUCAUCAGAAUCCUGAAGCGUUUUUUUAAAUGACGUGUGCCCAGAGCUUUGAGAGAAGAUUUUUUUUUAAAGAAAUGGGAGAAAAAAAUUAAAAUUGUCAAUAAGGAGUCUUUCAAACACUAGGCUCGGCAAGGAUUGAGCUGGAUGGUUCCUGGCACUUGUCAUUCCCAGCAAGGAACCAACACCAAGGACCUGGACCACGUGGCAUCUCUUAUGGAAGGUCCAGUUGCCAUUCUGAAGAGUCUUGAAGCCCAUAUCGAGCCUGAUCUGAUCUGCUUGUACAGAAUGAAGAAGUACUGACCUCUUUGAGGAAAGGCCACUGAUAUCUGCAAAC
rnacentral:lncRNA from 1 species